rnacentral:tRNA from 1 species
GAUGAGAUGGUCGAGAGGUUUAAGACGUAUGUUUGGAAGACGUAUAUGUGAAAGCAUCGAGGGUUCGAAUCCCUCUCUCAUCG